GUACACUCCUGCGGGAGGCAGCAGUGGGGAAUAUUGCACAAUGGGCGCAAGCCUGAUGCAGCCAUGCCGCGUGUAUGAAGAAGGCCUUCGGGUUGUAAAGUACUUUCAGCGGGGAGGAAGGCAAUACGGUUAAUAACCGUGUUGAUUGACGUUACCCGCAGAAGAAGCACCGGCUAACUCCGUGCCAGCAGCCGCGGUAAUACGGAGGGUGCAAGCGUUAAUCGGAAUUACUGGGCGUAAAGCGCACGCAGGCGGUCUGUCAAGUCGGAUGUGAAAUCCCCGGGCUCAACCUGGGAACUGCAUUCGAAACUGGCAGGCUUGAGUCUUGUAGAGGGGGGUAGAAUUCCAGGUGUAGCGGUGAAAUGCGUAGAGAUCUGGAGGAAUACCGGUGGCGAAGGCGGCCCCCUGGACAAAGACUGACGCUCAGGUGCGAAAGCGUGGGGAGCAAACAGGAUUAGAAACCCGUGUAGUCCCAUG
rnacentral:rRNA from 1 species